GUUCAUACGAAUGAUGCCCACCCAGCUGACCAUUCGACAGUAGAAAUUGUCUGCGGUUAAGCACAACAUUCUAAUGAGGCCACAAUGUUAACAAGCAGCACACUCCCUUGCUGGGUGUCCUGCCGCUCGGUAGUUCAUUCGUACAAAAGGGAAUUAAACAUAGCGGCCGUACGGACAGGGCAAUAACCGAACAAACAGGUGAACCAAGGUGAAACAAAAGUAAUCCAAGGACAGAGAGGUCUGUCACAGUAACCAAGGUUUGAGAGUGGAAGUAUCCAUCUCUGAGUUCCAGACGAUCGAC